AUUGAACGCUGGCGGCAGGCCCAACACAUGCAAGUCGAGCGGAUGAAGGGAGCUUGCUCCUGGAUUCAGCGGCGGACGGGUGAGUAAUGCCUAGGAAUCUACCUGGUAGUGGGGGAUAACGUCCGGAAACGGGCGCUAAUACCGCAUACGUCCUGAGGGAGAAAGUGGGGGAUCUUCGGACCUCACGCUAUCAGAUGAGCCUAGGUCGGAUUAGCUAGUUGGUGGGGUAAAGGCCUACCAAGGCGACGAUCCGUAACUGGUCUGAGAGGAUGAUCAGUCACACUGGAACUGAGACACGGUCCAGACUCCUACGGGAGGCAGCAGUGGGGAAUAUUGGACAAUGGGCGAAAGCCUGAUCCAGCCAUGCCGCGUGUGUGAAGAAGGUCUUCGGAUUGUAAAGCACUUUAAGUUGGGAGGAAGGGCAGUAAGUUAAUACCUUGCUGUUUUGACGUUACCAACAGAAUAAGCACCGGCUAACUUCGUG
rnacentral:rRNA from 1 species